GACGAGGGGUCCAAGCGUUGUUCGGAAUCAUUGGGCGUAAAGCGCGCGUAGGCGGUUUCUUAAGUCUGGGGUGAAAGGUUCAACGCUCAACGUGAACAGUGCCUUGGAUACUGGGAGACUUGAGUCUGGGAGGGGGUAGUGGAAUUCCUGGUGUAGCGGUGAAAUGCGUAGAUAUCAGGAGGAACACCGGUGGCGAAGGCGGCUACCUGGCCUAAGACUGACGCUGAGGUGCGAAAGCGUGGGGAGCGAACGGG
rnacentral:rRNA from 1 species